AAUGUGGUGGUGGGUGGGUGGGGAGACCAAUAUUGGUAUUACGUAUUUUAUUGUAGUUGGAUCGUUGCCCUCAUCUUGAUUAUUGCCUUCUCUGUGUUUUGCUUUCCUCGCAGGCCACUUGGAGAAUGCUGGAACAUACCAGAGCCAAAAUGUAGUGAAAACAACAAUAAAGAUGAGGAGACCAUCUGGCUAAUAUAAAAUACAUAAUAUUUGUUAAUUUCUCUUCUUAGAAAUACAGAAUUGAAAUAUAGGUGUUGUUUGUCUGAUUAAUGCAGCUGAUAUCUCUCACUCUAAAUAUCUAUUUCUUAUAUUUAACUUAUAUAUUUUUAAAAUCUAAUGAGGUCUGACAGCUGUUUAAUCAUUAAGAGGAAUCAACUAAUUGCCGUCGACGUUGUGGUGGCAUAAACAAAUUCAAAAUAGUCUUCAGCACAGCAUUAGAAGAACGAGGCCAUUGCUGAUAGUAAUGUUUUUUAAAACUUUUAACCAAGGUAUGAAGCCAUUAACUUUUGGAGGCAUUGUGCAGUGGGGUGGGGGUCUUAAUGUAUUUUUUGAUCCAGGAGGACAAACGACGAAGCUGGCUUUGGCAAGAUUUGAUCUGGGUCCAGAAGGAUGUAACUAAAUAAUGAAAGGCACCCCAUCCAUAUUUGCCACUCCAGAACCCUAAUGAGAAUAUAGUGAACUAGAAGGAAUAUAUUAUAUCAAAAUGUCUAUGUUUUUUGAAACUGAAAAGAAAUAGAAGGAAACACAACAAAACAAAACAA